GCCUCGGGUCUGUGCAGCUUCAUGCCGCCAACCCGGUCAGAUUCGGAAGAAAGCAGCCGUAACGGUCUCUGUUGCGUGCCGCGGAACCCCGGGGCCCG
rnacentral:SRP_RNA from 1 species